rnacentral:rRNA from 1 species
UACGUAGGGGGCGAGCGUUGUCCGGAAUCAUUGGGCGUAAAGAGCGUGUAGGCGGCUUGGCAAGUCUGACGUGAAAGCCCGCGGCUCGACCGCGGAUUGUCGUUGGAAACUGCCUCGCUAGAGUCCGGAAGAGGAGAGCGGAAUUCCCGGUGUAGCGGUGAAAUGCGCAGAUAUCGGGAAGAACAUCGGUGGCGAAAGCGCUCUACUGGACGGUAUCUGACGACUGAGGGACGAAAGCUAGGGGAGCGAAUGGG